rnacentral:rRNA from 1 species
AGGGAUUUGCCUCAGUAACGGCGAGUGAAGCGGCAAGAGCUCAACUUUGGAAUCGCUCCGCGCGAGUUGUAGUCUGGAGGUGGCCACCACGAGGUGUUCUAGCAGCAGGCAAGUCCUUUGGAACAAGGCGCCAGCGAGGGUGACAGCCCCGUACCUGCUUUUGCUAGUGCUUCCUGUGGCCCACCGACGAGUCGAGUUGUUUGGGAAUGCAGCUCUAAGUGGGUGGUAAAUUCCAUCUAAGGCUAAAUAUUGGCGAGAGACCGAUAGCGAACAAGUACAGUGAUGGAAAGAUGAAAAGCACUUUGAAAAGAGAGUGAAACAGUACGUGAAAUUGUUGAAAGGGAAGGGCUUGCACCCAGACACGGUUUCGGCCGGGCCAGCAUCAAGUAGAACGGGGUUAAAAGACCUGGGGAAUGUAGCUACCUCUUGGUAGUGUUAUAGCCCUUGGGUGAUGACCCCUGUUUUGCUUGAGGACAGCGGUCUCUAGGAUGCUGGCGCAAUGGUUGCAAGCCACCCGUCUUGAAACACGGACCAAGGAGUCUAACGUCUAUGCGAGUGUACGGCUGAAAAACCCCUGCGCGGAAUGAAAGUAAGAGGUUGGAACCCUCUCGGGGGUGCACAAUCGACCGACCCAGAAGUGCUC